GGGGUUGUUUGGUAUUGACGAGAGGUUAAAAUCCAAUGUAAGCAUGCGCGGUGUUGUAAGAAUUACCGCACAAAAAAACUUACGCAACAAAUAAACGGCAACUUAGCUGUUCUCAACGCUCGCCGUCGCAAGAGCUUCGCCCUUCUAGAUGAAGAAGAGGAGGAAGGAUUGCGUAUGGCUGCUUAAUCGAUAGAUUAAGGGGUGUUUGUCCUGCUGGCUUUCGUACUAUGGAGUUAGCAUCAGGGCAUCGGUACAUAGGACUGCGGCAGCUAGUGGCGUGAUAGCUGUUUAAGUAUACUAACGCAUAAGCGUAACAUGAGGUACGUUGCUGACCUUGGUUGCGUCGAAAAUAAACAGCAACUAAGCAUGUAGAAAGCGUUGAGGUUUGCUUAUUCGGACGAGGGUUCGAUUCCCUCCAACUCCAC
rnacentral:tmRNA from 1 species